GAUGAACGCUGGCGGCGUGCCUAAUACAUGCAAGUCGAGCGAACGGACGAGAAGCUUGCUUCUCUGCUUUUAGCGGCGGACGGGUGAGUAACACGUGGAUAACCUUCCUAUAAGACUUGGAUAACUUCGUGAAACCGGAGCUAAUACCGGAUAAUAUUUUGAACCGCAUGGUUCAAAAGUGAAAGGCGGUCUUGCUGUCCCUUAUAGAUGGUUCCGCGCUGCAUUAGCUAGUUGGUAAGGUAACGGCUUACCAAGGCAACGAUGCAUAACCGGCCUGAGAUGGAGAUCGGACACAAUGGAACUGCGACACGGUCCAGACGCCUAGGGGAGGCAGCAGUAGGGAAUCUUGCGCAAUGGGCGAAAGCCUGACGGAGCAACGCCGCGUGAGUGAUGAAGGUCGUCGGAUCGUAAAACACUGUUAUUGGGGAAGAACAUAUGUGUGAGUAACUGCGCACAUCUUGACGGUACCUAAUCAGAAAGCCACGGCUAACUACGUG
rnacentral:rRNA from 1 species